CCUCUGGGUUGUAAACUGCUUUUGUAUAGGAAGAAACGCUCCGACGUGUCGGAGUUUGACGGUACUAUAAGAAUAAGGAUCGGCUAACUACGUGCCAGCAGCCGCGGUAAUACGUAGGAUCCAAGCGUUAUCCGGAUUUAUUGGGUUUAAAGGGUGCGCAGGCGGCUCAAUAAGUCAGUGGUGAAAGCCGACAGCUUAACUGUCGAAUUGCCAUUGAUACUGUUGAGCUUGAGUAUAGUUGAGGUUGGCGGAAUGUAUCAUGUAGCGGUGAAAUGCUUAGAUAUGAUACAGAACACCGAUUGCGAAGGCAGCUGACUAAGCUAUUACUGACGCUCAUGCACGAAAGCGUGGGGAUCAAACAGGAUUAGAUACCCUGGUAGUCCACGCCGUAAACGUUGAUAACUCGAUGUUGGCGAUAUACUGUCAGCGUCUUAGCGAAAGCGUUAAGUUAUCCACCUGGGGAGUACGCCGGCAACGGUGAAACUCAAAGGAAUUGACGG
rnacentral:rRNA from 1 species